UACAGAGGGUGCGAGCGUUGUCCGGAAUCACUGGGCGUAAAGGGCGCGUAGGUGGCGUCGCAAGUCCAUGGUGAAAGCUCGAUGCUCAACAUCGAGUCGGCCACGGAGACUGCGGGGCUCGAGCACUGUAGGGGCAGAUGGAAUUCCGGGUGUAGCGGUGGAAUGCGUAGAGAUCCGGAAGAACACCGGUGGCGAAGGCGGUCUGCUGGGCAGUUGCUUACGCUGAUGCGCGACAGCGUGGGGAGCAAACAGG
rnacentral:rRNA from 1 species